UACGUAGGGUGCAAGCGUUAAUCGGAAUUACUGGGCGUAAAGCGUGCGCAGGCGAUUUUGUAAGUCUGAUGUGAAAUCCCCGGGCUUAACCUGGGAAUUGCAUUGGAGACUGCAAGGCUAGAAUCUGGCAGAGGGGGGUAGAAUUCCACGUGUAGCAGUGAAAUGCGUAGAGAUGUGGAGGAACACCGAUGGCGAAGGCAGCCCCCUGGGUCAAGAUUGACGCUCAUGCACGAAAGCGUGGGGAGCAAACAGG
rnacentral:rRNA from 1 species